rnacentral:lncRNA from 1 species
AAAUUUUAUUUGGCUAUAAAAACAGAAAGAGCAAACAAACAACUUCAAGUCCUUAAUAAGCAUCAGAACAAAUGGGGUCUACUUCACAUCCUUCGGGGUAGAACAGAACUCUGUUUACGACAAGUCUAUCGCCAUUAUCAUAAUUCUACUCUCCCUAUAUAGAUUUUUAUUGUAUCACCUCCCCUGCUCAUUAUACUUCUCACAGGAUGAGGGUUCUCCAUAUUUUAAGUGACAGUAAGGAAGCAGGAAAAUCUAAUAAAAUAAAAAUAUUCAAAAGCAUCCCUACAUAUAUCCCUAAAAUACAUCGCUUCUUUUUUCAUUUAAAGAAAUCAUUUAGAAACAAAAAAAGAUAUAAAUGACCACACAGUGGGAAAGUCCCA